CAAGAUCAGCAAGGGCUCUUAAUGGCUGACACAUCUCUCCAGACCCCCAUAUACAUAUACGCUAAUUUUUUGAGACAGGUUCUGUCAUUGAAACCUAUUUCGCCAACUGGCCAAAUUGCCAAAUUGAGAUACACACACACACACACACACACACACACACACACACACACACACACACAUCUCCGUACUCUGAAUACAGAUGUACUCUGCCAUGCUGAACUUUUUUUUAUCUGGGUUCUAGGAUUGAACUCGCUAGUACUUAACCAACCCAGCCAGCUCCUUGGAGUGCCCCUACCAUCUUUGUAACCUUUUAAACUUUGUAGCUCUGGAAACUGAACCCAGAACGUGCCUCAAGCUAGGCAAUCUCAAUUGCAGAGCCACAUCCCAGUGUCUCACUGGGGGAUUUUAGAAAACUGUGUUCCCAGCCCUUUUUCACUUUUUUUUAGCCAUCCCCCUCCCCACCCUUAACCUCUUGAGAGAGAUGAUAGGCUAGUACCACCACCACCUAGCCCAGUUCCCACCCAUACUUGAAGUUCCCUCAUGCACCCCAAACUCAAAUGAGAAAAGUCAUUUGUAAAUGAAAAGGAA
rnacentral:lncRNA from 1 species